rnacentral:sRNA from 1 species
CUCCAGGCCGCCCUCCGGAUCCGAUCCUGCGAAUGGUUUUGGCCACAUCUUCAUGUAGGACCUACUGCCUAUCCCGUCGGCCGCGGUGAAUCCCACCUGCGGUGCUUUAACUUGUGCCCAGAGCCAUGGCUAUCUCCUCUUCCUCCUGCGAACUGCCCCUGGUGGCUGUGUGCCAGGUAACAUCGACGCCAGACAAGCAACAGAACUUUAAAACAUGUGCUGA